GACGAACGCUGGCGGCGUGCUUAACACAUGCAAGUCGAACGGUAAGGCCCUUCGGGGUACACGAGUGGCGAACGGGUGAGUAACACGUGGGUGAUCUGCCCUGCACUUUGGGAUAAGCCUGGGAAACUGGGUCUAAUACCGAAUACACCCUGCUGGUCGCAUGGCCUGGUGGGGGAAAGCUUUUGCGGUGUGGGAUGGGCCCGCGGCCUAUCAGCUUGUUGGUGGGGUGAUGGCCUACCAAGGCGACGACGGGUAGCCGGCCUGAGAGGGUGUCCGGCCACACUGGGACUGAGAUACGGCCCAGACUCCUACGGGAGGCAGCAGUGGGGAAUAUUGCACAAUGGGCGCAAGCCUGAUGCAGCGACGCCGCGUGAGGGGUGACGGCCUUCGGGUUGUAAACCUCUUUCAAUAGGGACGAAGCGCAAGUGACGGUACCUAUAGAAGAAGCACCGGCCAACUACGUGCCAGCAGCCGCGGUAAUACGUAGGGUGCGAGCGUUGUCCGGAAUUACUGGGCGUAAAGAGCUCGUAGGUGGUUUGUCGCGUUGUUCGUGAAAACUCACAGCUUAACUGUGGGCGUGCGGGCGAUACGGGCAGACUGGAGUACUGCAGGGGAGACUGGAAUUCCUGGUGUAGCGGUGGAAUGCGCAGAUAUCAGGAGGAACACCGGUGGCGAAGGCGGGUCUCUGGGCAGUAACUGACGCUGAGGAGCGAAAGCGUGGGGAGCGAACAGGAUUAGAUACCCUGGUAGUCCACGCCGUAAACGGUGGGUACUAGGUGUGGGUUUCCUUCCUUGGGAUCCGUGCCGUAGCUAACGCAUUAAGUACCCCGCCUGGGGAGUACGGCCGCAAGGCUAAAACUCAAAGAAAUUGACGGGGGCCCGCACAAGCGGCGGAGCAUGUGGAUUAAUUCGAUGCAACGCGAAGAACCUUACCUGGGUUUGACAUGCACAGGACGCCGGCAGAGAUGUCGGUUCCCUUGUGGCCUGUGUGCAGGUGGUGCAUGGCUGUCGUCAGCUCGUGUCGUGAGAUGUUGGGUUAAGUCCCGCAACGAGCGCAACCCUUGUCUCAUGUUGCCAGCACGUUAUGGUGGGGACUCGUGAGAGACUGCCGGGGUCAACCCGGAGGAAGGUGGGGAUGACGUCAAGUCAUCAUGCCCCUUAUGUCCAGGGCUUCACACAUGUUACAAUGGCCGGUACAAAGGGCUGCGAUGCCGUGAGGUGGAGCGAAUCCUUUCAAAGCCGGUCUCAGUUCGGAUCGGGGUCUGCAACUCGACCCCGUGAAGUCGGAGUCGCUAGUAAUCGCAGAUCAGCAACGCUGCGGUGAAUACGUUCCCGGGCCU
rnacentral:rRNA from 1 species